ACACUCUGCCCAGGCUCCUUUGGCAAGCUUUCGCUUUAGAUGUUGGAAGAAGCCAGAGAGGGAUUUCUCCUCUGAUUGGGAGGGCUUAGUGGGGUCUCCAGUGUCAGAGACUCUGCAGAGAUCACUGCAACUUAUGUGUGGCUCUGCUUUUUCCCUGUUUCCUGGGGACAAACUGCCUCUUGGAAAUGAAAAAUUUGGGCCCCCAGCAUUGGACUCAGAAGUAAGGAUUGGUAUCUGAGAGCAGCCUGGGGCAGGUGCAGAUUCUGAAGGCAGAUUUGGGGCCUGCCAGGGUCCUUGUGAGUCUGACCUUUCUCCAGCUGUUGUGUUUAGAGACGCUCCAGGAAGUCACAGCCUUUCAUAGGUGGGAGAACAGAGAAGCAGGGAGGUAGAAGUUGUGACUAUGCCCAUCAUAUAGAUAAGGAAACUGAGGCCAAGAAGGUCAUAGUGAGAGUGGCUGAGCCUGGAGGGCAGCCUAGAAGUCAUCUCCCAGAAUUUGUUCUUCCUUAUACCACAGACUGCUUUCUCCCUGCUCCUUCCAAACAGUAGCUCUAAAGAUGGAGGGGUCGUGCAGUCGCUCCUUGCUCUGCUGUCUCACUUCUCUGCUUUUCCUUGUCCAGCUGUCCACAGAGCAGUUCCAGGUUGUUGGCCCUCGACAUCCCAUUGUGGCAGUGCUGGGCGAGGAUGCCAUACUGCCCUGUGCCCUACUCCCAGCCAUGAAUGCAGAGAACAUGGAACUGGGGUGGUUCCGUACCACAUUCUCACAGGCAGUGUUCAUCUACUGGAACCAACAGGAACAGACUGAGGAGCAGAUGGCUGAAUACAGAGGGCGAACCUCACUGGUGAGGGACAUCCUUACUGAGGGUCAGGCUUCCGUGCACAUCCACAAGGUCCGGGUUUCUGACAAUGGAAUGUACACCUGCUUCUUCAGACAUGGAAGCUUCUAUGAUGAGGCUGAUUUUGAAGUGAAGGUGGCAGGUUAGUUACUUGACCUCUAUUCUAGUGAACUUGGGAGUACUGGGCUCUGUGGGAAUAUCAGAGAUCAUCCAAUUUUGCCUCACAUUUUAUAGGUGAAAUGGAAGAAAAAAGUGGCUCAUCUUUUAUUCAUUGAUUUAAUACAAACACUGUAUAUGGGUCAUCUGAAAUAUGUGGGGACUUGUUCUGUGCAUUAGAGAUAUAUCAGUGUAACAGAGAUCCCAUCAGUGAGGAGGUCACCUUCUAGAGACAAAGGAACAAAAGUUAUAACAAUUAAUUCAGUACAAGAUGUUAUAAGGUGAUAAGUACUUAAGAUAAAAGACCAAGUAGAAUUAAGAAAGGGGCUCAGGAUGUGGGCUGGGGUGUUAGGACAAGCUGCAGUGUUACAUAGGGGCUCAGGCAGAGUCUUAUUCACAGUCUGAGCAAGGCUCAAAGAAAGUAGGUAUUUAGCCAGGUGGGUAUCUGGGGGGCCAUGGUUUAAUGCAGAGGGAGCCCCUGGUAUGAAACCUUUGAGUUGAAGUUUGGUUUAUUAUUCUGUGUAUAAUGAGGCCAUCAUGGUUGAUAGUAGGAGUGAGGGAGAGGAUGGUAAUAGUGGUAUUACUGGAACAAAGAGAUGGUCCUGUAUUAACAUCACUCACAGGUGUCAGGAUGAGGUCCUUAGGAGUGGACACCUGGGCUGGCACAAGAGCCCUGGAGGUUUAUGGGGUGGAAGGUGAAAAGGCAGAGGGCAUACAACAUGGUGAUUGUGGCUACUUGCACUUGACCAGAUAGUUCUUGGGGUUGAGUGUGUGGGCCCUGAUGGUCUCAGGUGGUGGAGUUUGGGGAGAAGUGAUGGAGGGGAAGGCAGUUACCAGAUCAGUAAAGGCUUUGUGUGCUGUGUUAUGGAGUUUGGAUGCAGAGUAGGGGGAAUCCUAAACAGAGCCAUGCUGGGAAUGCUCAUGUUGGCAGCUGUGAAUGGAUGGAUGGGAGGUGAGCAAGAAGGAGGCAUGGAGUGCAGUUAUGAUGUGGAGAGAAUGAGGGCCUGACCUGAGACAUGGCAGUGGGGUGGGGGAGGAGGGGUCAGACAGGUUUAGAAACUAGAGUCAACUGAGUAGAUUUGUGGUCACAAAGUUUGGAAGGGGAAGAGAAGACUUCAGAGACUUACAAGGUUUUAUUUGAACCAUUUGUUGUUUUGUGGCAGGACACUUGAAAAUUAUAUGUCAGUUCUACUGCUGUAAUAAUGCUGUGUAACAAACAACCACAAUCUCAGGUGCAUCUGGCAAUAAAAAUGUAUAUUUUCAAGCACUGAGGGAGUUCAACUAAUUGGGGUUGAACUUGCCUAAUCUCAUCUGGGUUUACUCAUACAUGUUUGUCAUUUAUGAGAAAUAUAAUUAAAACAAAAUCUCUCAUGCUAGGAGAAAACACUUUUUAUUACAGAAUAAGCAUCAAAACAGAGUGUUAAACAUAUUAUGGUGAUCUGUGAAUGGAUUACACAACCAGAAAGGAGUUUCAUCUUUCUUUUUAGAGCCAAGCAUAUAUAAUCUCCUGUAUGCUUGUUGCCAAGUUGAAGAAUAACUAAUAUUCAACUAAGAGGGCUCAAAGCACUAUUGUUCCACAUAAUUCUUCCUAAAUUUACCUGGUAGUUUGGGAGACCAUCAGUGUCAUCUAAUAGGCUUUAUCUGGAAGCAAAAUAAACUCCUCUAGCUUUAUGACAGGAAGUAGUUUUACAUUUUGGAGCAAGAUACCCACAUAAGUUAUGCACCUACCUUUCCAAAUUUUGGGUGUGCUGAAGCAGUGAGAGCUGGAGGAUCAUAUCCAAGGUGGUUAGAGUUGAGAGUGAAGAGAAUUUGUGGGUUAUUUGUAUGCAUGAAAUGUAACCAACUCCUUGAUACAUCUUUGAGAGUUUUCAGUAAAUUUAUUGUGUGUGUGUGUGUGCGCACGCACGCACGUGUGUGUAUGUGAAUUCCAUUAAGCCAUUUCUAAGUAAUCAUUUCAUUGAGUUUGCCUGUGGUAAUGAGACCACUUCCCCCUUCCAGUAGCAGUUAGGAAAGGCAUAUGCUAAGGCAGUUUCCAAUACAAUGAAAGAUUAUCCAGAGGACUCUUGAACUCUGGGCGUGAGUUUAGGACCUGUGCCAUUUGAAUUUGUAUAAUAUGCCCUUUUCCUGCUCUGGGUGUUUCUUUUUCACAUCAGGGAUAUAGACUGUGAGAGUCAGAGGAGAGUGAGCCAUUGUAUCAAGGAGGCUUUGGAUUCAGAUGUAUGAGGAACACUCUUUGAGAAUCUUAAUGAUUUUCCUGGGGACAUGUUUAUUAAAAAAGAAGGAUCAAAUAGUCUGUUUUUUUCAUCUCCACAUUAUCUGCUGAAUUACCAUCUACAAGUUUCUAUAUAUAACUUGCAUACUCUUUUAUUUUAUAAGAAUAAACACCUAUGCAUACUAGAAUCCACACUUUCAUAUUAACAGGUCCAUAGUGUGAGGUUAACUAAUGUCUGAUCUCAUCUUGUUCAUGAAAUUAUAACAAUGAGUUAUAAAUUAAAAUUAUCUUCAGGAAUUAUGGGAAGGGUGCAUUAAGGUGCAUAGCAUGGUACUUGACACACCAGAAAGUCUCAAAAGUUUUUUUCUUUCACUCUUUCUCUUUUUCUCCCUAUCUGCUUCCUUCUCACUUUGCUUCUCCUUUGAUGAUCUCAGUCAGUUAUUAUAUAUAAAAUUAUAAUUUUAUUCCAACUAAUGUCUUGGUGAAAAAUGAGCAAAAUUUACUUUUCUCCAAGGGUUAUCUGGGUCUGCUCAGCCAUUUUAUAUGAUCUAGUUUCUAUGAAUCAACUCAACAAAGAUGGAAGUACCAAUGUAUGUGAUUGAACCUGUAUUAGUGCAAAUGGGGGGCACAAAUUUAGAUACUAAUCUUUAAGAAAGAAAAAAUCUUGUUCAUUUAUUAUUUUUUAAAAAUUUAAUAUUAUAUUGCAAUAGUAAGUUUUUGACUAAUUAUAAGGACAUUUUAAAAAGUUUAUAUAUGAUAGCAGAAUGCAUUACAAUUCUUAUUACACAUAUAGAGCACAAUUUUUCAUAUCUCUGGUUGUAUACAAAGUAUAUUCACUCCAAUUCGUGUCUUCAUACCUGUACUUUGGAUAAUAAUGAUCAUCACAUUCCACCACCAUUUAUAACCCCGUGUCCCCUCCCUUCCCCUCCAACCCCUCUGCCUUAUCUAGAGUUUCUCUAUUCCUCCCAUGCUCUCUCUCCCUAUUCCACUGUGAAUCAGCCUCCUUAUAUCAAAGAAAACAUUCAGUAUUUGUUUUUUUGGGGAGAUUGGCUAACUUCACUUAGCAUUAUCUUCUCUAACUUCAUCCAUCUACCUGCAAAUGCCAUGAUUUUAUUAUAUUUUAUUGCUGGGUAAUAUUCCAUUAUGUAUACAUGCCACAAUUUUUUUAUCUAUUCAUCUAUUGAAGGGCAUCUAUGUUGGUUCCACAGGUUAGCUAUGGUGAAUUCUGCUGCUAUGAACAUUGAUGUGGCUGUGUUCCUGUGGUAUUCUGUUUUUACAUCCUUUAGGUGUAGACCAAGGAGAGGGAUAGCUGGAUUAAAUGGUGGUUCCAUUUCCAAUUUUCCAAGAAAUCUCCAUACUGCUUUCCAUAUUGGCUGCACCAAUUUUCAGUCCCACCAGCAGUGUAUGUAUCAUUUUCCCGAUGUUCUCACCAACAUUUAUUGUUGUUUGUCUUCAAAAUAGCUGCUAUUCUAACAGGAGUGAGAUGAAAUCUUAGAGUGGUUUGACUUUUAUUUCUCUAAUUGCUACUGAUGUUGAAUAUUUUUUCAUGUAUUUUUUUUCAUGAUUGAUUGUACAUCAUCUUCUGAGAAGUGUUUGUUCAUGUCCUUGGCCCAUUUAUUGAUUGGCUUAUUUGUUUUUGUUUUGUUUUGUUUUGUUUGUGCUUAGGUUUUUGAGUUCUUUAUAAACCCUAGAGAUUACUGUUCUUCUUAUGUUUGAGGGGUAAAGAUUUGCUCCCAAGAUGUAGUCUCUCUAUUCACCUCACAGAUUGCUUCUUGUGCUGAGAAGAAACUUUUUAGUUUGAGUUCAUCCUAUUUAUUGAUUCUUGAUUUUAAUUCUUGUGCCACAGGAGUCGUAUUAAGAAGUUGUGUCUAACCCCACAUUAUGGAGAUUAGGGCCUAUUUCUUCUUCUAUUAAACACAGGGUCUCUGGUUUCAUUUCUAAGUCCUUGAUCCAUUUUGAGUUGAGUUUUGUGCAUGGUGAGAGAUAGGGGUUUAAUUUCAUUUCCAGUUUUCCCAGCACCAUUUGUUGAAGAGGCUAUCUUUUCUCCAAUGCAUGUUCUUGCACCUUUGUCUAAGAUAAUUGUAAUUUUGUGGGUUAUUCUUUGUGUCCUCUAUUCUGUACCAUUGGCCUACCAGUCUGUUUUGGUGCCAAUACCAUGCUGUUUUGUUACUAUUGCUCUGUAGUAGAUAUAGUUUAAGGUCUGGUAUUGUGUGUGUGCUGGUUACUGGUGUGAUCAAUUGGUCUCUCUGCUACCUCAAUCAUGUGAGUAACAGCAGCAGAGUCAACACACAGAUACCAGGAGCUGGUGAGAGCUGGCAGGUGACAACCAUUGUUGAACUCCAGGCAAUCUCGUUUAAUGUGGAAGUGAUUACAAUUGCUAUAGAAUACAUCUUCCAAUCAUACUUAAGCAAUCAGGUUAUAUAACAUGUAGAAACUAAUCAUCUUAUGAUUAAUGUAGCCACACUAUGAGGAAGCUGUAAAUAUUGCUAUAUGGUGGAAGGCAGACUGGAAGGAUCAUUGUCCCUAGGGGAGGGGACCUUUUUAGGGGUUUCAUGCCCCGAUGCACCUAACUCAUGGUUUCCUGGCCUUGUAGCUUGGCAAUGCUGACAUCAAGCACUGAGGAUAUGGUUUCACUGACAGCUUGCUAGAGCACAGCCGCCCCCUCCUGCAGGUGUUUCUGUAAAAGCAUAGGUCUUCCUAGCACUCUGAGCUGCCCGUAGCUGCUAGCUGUAAACCAAAAGUUUUCUAAAAUGGUAUAGUGAUGCCAUCUGCUUCACUGUUCCUGCUAAGGAUUGAUUUAGCUAUUUUGGGUCUCUUAUUUUUCCAGAUGAAUUUCAAAA